CCCCGCCUCCCAACCCCCUCGCUGCCUCCUCCUCCUUCCUCUCCAACCUCGCCUCUCGCUUCGUCUCCCCGCGCCCCGCGCUCGCCGUGGCCCGCCCGCCGAGGCCCCAUAGCACCGCCCAGUUUCUCGCACUCGGGCUCGAUGAGGUCGCGCGCGCGCUCACUGGCAUGUCCAUCUUCACCAUCUGCAACUCCAGCAACUAGUUCGUGCUCGUCUCCGCUCCCUCGGCCUCCUCUGCUUUCGCUCCAAGGACGCCGACGCCCUCCUCUCCGUCGAAGGUCGCCGGAACCACGACGGCCGGCACGCUCGUGCAUGAGGAGACGACGAUGACGGGGGAGUCCAAGUUCGGCAUCACCUUCGACUGGGAGAUGGAGAAGCUGGGGGUGCCAGGCGCCAUCGUCGUCAACAACUACCAGAGCCCCGAGUUCCUGCUCAAGACCGUCACCCUCCACGACGUCAAGGCCGCGGCAACCUCUACUUCGUCGCCAACUCCUGGAUCUACCCCGCCGGCAGCUACACCUACAGCCGCGUCUUCUUCGCCAAUGAUGUGGGAUCCUCAAGGUCCAUUCAAACCAUUGCAUUUGAUGAAUCCGGCAAGACUAUCUUUUAUUCACUCCAUACUCUAUAGACAUUUCACGUACACUUAACGUAUCUUGCAUAUGAUUGCUUUUUUUGUAGGUUCGUGAAGAGAGUUGAUCUGGUUUUGUGAAGGAAGGGCGAGAAAGAUUAUGUGGGGAUCAGAUUGUCCAUGGCGACCUAGGAGGAGCAGCACCAUCUCAGGUUGCUCCGAUCUAGUUGUGUGAAGCAACAUGCAAGGUCUGCUAGUGCUGUUGUGCUCCCUUGAAUGAUCUGGUGAAGGACAAUUUGGUCCAUAGGUAUAUGCAAGUCCGGCAGUGCGGUGGCGUACCUGUGCAAGCACGAACGGAGCGAAGACUUACUGUUGGUGUUGCCCGUCAAGUUCUCCAGCUUGGGGUGAACCAGGCUAUCUCAAGUGCUUCGUUGGUUGGGUUGCUUCUUUGCUGCUGGUCUCAUGAAUGGGGAAGUUAUUUUUCUUGAAGGAAGGGCAAGGAGGAGGCAACACGUUGGAAACUGGAGGACCCAGGGAUGGAUAAUAUGUGUUGUUCUCGCCAUCUACCUGGCCCUUUUGUUGAUAAAUCCAUUGCACAAUGGGUGACCAUGGAAGGGGUGGAAGUUCAUAUUGCUCUUUAUAAUGAAGGUCACAGCCUAAUCCUGACUAUGGUCGUCUAGUGAGUAUGGCAUAUGGUUCAUAUGACAGGAGCAUGUGCCCAGUUUGUGAUCGCUUUUGACAUGAGCUCCAUUCUGAAGAAGAUUCAAGACAAUUGUGGAGUUGUAAAUUACUGUAGCCAGAUAUCACAC